GAGGCCGGGGCGAGGGGCUGCGGGAGCCGGACGGAGGCUGUGGCUUUCGCUUUUAUUUCCCCUCCCUCUCUUU
rnacentral:pre_miRNA from 1 species